rnacentral:rRNA from 1 species
CCUGGCUCAGGAUGAACGCUAGCGGCAGGCAUAACACAUGCAAGUUGAGGGGAAACGGCAUUGAGUGCUUGCACUGAAUGGACGUCGACCGGCGCACGGGUGAGUAACGCGUAUCCAACCUACCCAUUACUGUGGGAUAACCUGCCGAAAGGCAGACUAAUACCGCAUAGUCUUCGAUGACGGCAUCAGAUUUGAAGUAAAGAUUUAUAGGUAAUGGAUGGGGAUGCGUCUGAUUAGCUUGUUGGCGGGGUAACGGCCCACCAAGGCAACGAUCAGUAGGGGUUCUGAGAGGAAGGUCCCCCACAUUGGAACUGAGACACGGUCCAAACUCCUACGG